UAAAUAAAUGGUAGAUUACAUUGGACUCUGUUACAGCUGGUGAACCUGCAUCCAAAUCAAGACACCCCCAACACCUGACGAGACAAUAAGAAAGCCCCCUGAGCCCCAAACUUCCAGCGAAGAGCAAACUGAACAUCUCAGUGCCGAGACCGCCAAGCCCUUGUUCAAUGCGCACAACAGCCCAUCUGUCGUUGGUGGCACAUCACGUGUCCAUGCAGCGCUGAACCCCCGGGAAGAGGCUUGGUCCCAGAAACCCGGAACGUUUGAGUGUUGCGGAGGAAGCACAGAGGCCGCGUUCCGGGCCAGCAGAGUGGAGUCACAUGAUCGUACAGAACCCAGACUUGGCCUCUUCCCCUCCCCCGGGGACCCACCUAUUGACUUGGGGGCCACUGGGGACCAGAAUGCCAGGAUGCUCCAUUUGGAGGGGGCCUUGGCCUCCAAGCGGGAGAUGGGCCCCGGAUCCUGGACCUGGAUGGAGAGGGACGGGCACACUCAUCACAGGCCUCUCUGCGCCAAGAACCACAUGGUGCAAAGAGAAAACUUUGGGAGAAGAACAAGGAGGGUGCGUGUCGGGGUGUGUUCACCGGGCGCUGGCACGGGGCGCACGAAAGACUACCCUCCGUACGGGGCAGGCGCUUGGCAAAGCUGGGCCGCCCACCGCCCACUGCUGCCCGGAGGACGGCACACUGAACGGAAGACAGGGAGUUCAAGUGUGAAUAGAGAGUAGCAAACAGCUCUGGCCCCAGAGGUCGAAGUCUUUGGGGGACGAGGCUGGUAUACGGGGAGCAAGGGCAAGAAAAUCACUCGGUCUCCGUACCUGGCACGUGGUAGGCUUUCAAUAAAACUUGGUGUUCUAAGAUGCAAA